rnacentral:piRNA from 1 species
UCAGCAUGACGAGCCGCCGCUUUAGCUCC